rnacentral:rRNA from 1 species
GGGAUUGCCCCAGUAACGGCGAGUGAAGCGGCAACAGCUCAAAUUUGAAAUCUGGCCCUCGGGUCCGAGUUGUAAUUUGUAGAGGAUGCUUUUGGCGAGGUGCCUUCCGAGUUCCCUGGAACGGGACGCCAUAGAGGGUGAGAGCCCCGUCUGGUCGGACACCGAGCCUCUGUAAAGCUCCUUCGACGAGUCGAGUAGUUUGGGAAUGCUGCUCAAAAUGGGAGGUAUAUGUCUUCUAAAGCUAAAUAUUGGCCAGAGACCGAUAGCGCACAAGUAGAGUGAUCGAAAGAUGAAAAGCACUUUGAAAAGAGGGUUAAAAAGUACGUGAAAUUGUUGAAAGGGAAGCGCCUAUGACCAGACUUGAGCCCGGUGAAUCAUCCAGCGUUCUCGCUGGUGCACUUUGCCGGGCCCAGGCCAGCAUCAGUUUGGCGCGGGGGAUAAAGGUGACGGGAAUGUGGCUCCCUCGGGAGUGUUAUAGCCCGCUACGUAAUACCCUGCGCCGGACUGAGGUACGCGCAUUGCAAGGAUGCUGGCGUAAUGGUCAUCAGCGACCCGUCUUGAAACACGGACCAAGGAGUCGUCUUCGUAUGCGAGUGUUCGGGUGUCAAACCCCUACGCGUAAUGAAAGUGAACGCAGGUGAGAGCUUCGGCGCAUCAUCGACCGAUCCUGAUGUUCUCGGAUGGAUUUGAGUAAGAGCAUACGGGGCCGGACCCGAAAGAAGGUGAACUAUGCCUGUAUAGGGUGAAGCCAGAGGAAACUCUGGUGGAGGCUCGCAGCGGUUCUGACGUGCGAAUCGAUCGUCAAAUAUGGGCAUGGGGGCGAA